rnacentral:misc_RNA from 1 species
UUAAGUUCAGCGGGUAUCCCUACCUGAUCCGAGGCCAUGCUUUCGGAGAUGGGCCACCCCUCAGGACUCCUCGCCGCAUUUCUCUGCGUUUCGAAGCCAUGAAGGGCGCCGAUGUGUUUGGAAGGACCCUACCGGGGAACUUCAACGCAAGGCGAAGCCUCAGACACAAACGGCGCUCGAACAGGUAUACCUCAAGGAUU